UGAUCCGCCCGUCUCGGCCUCCCAAAGUGCUAGGAUUACAGGCGUGAGCCACCGUGCCCGGCCCCCACCAUGUUUUAAUAGUGAUUUAUGCAAAGAUAUCUUAAUGACUUAUAGUCUUUGGUGUAUGUGUGUGUAUAUAUAUAUAUAUAUUUGGUGUGUAUAUAUAUAUAUACACACACAAACAUAUAUACACAUUAUUUUAUAUACAUACAAAAUUAUAUAUAACGUGUAUAUAUAAUGUGUAUAUAUAAUGUGUAUAUGUGUGUGUGUAUAUGUAUACAUAUACACACACACAUAUAUAUUUUUCCUUUUAUCCCACUCUUUCGAUAUCUACUGAGGGAAAGAUGAACUGCAUGUUUUGUUUGUUUUUUUGACAGAGUCUUGCUCUGUCACCCAGGCUGGAGUACAGUGGCCCAUUAUCUGCUCACUGCAACCUCCACCUCCCAGGUUCAAGCGAUUCUCAUGCCUUAGGCUCCUGAGUAGCUGGGAUUAGAUUACAGGCAUGUGUCACCACGCCCGACCAAUUUUUAGUAAAGAUGGGGUUUUGCCAUGUUGGCCAGGAUGGUCUCAAACUCCUGACCUCAAGUGACCCUCCCACCUCAGCCUCCCAAAAUGCUAGGAUUACAGGUGUAAGCCACCACGCUCGGCUGAACUGCAUGUUUGUCUAUGCUCAAUUAUCAUGAGUGGAAAGAAAGUGAAAAACUAAAGAAAAUCUUCUAACAUCCCUGGAUUUCAUUUAUUUAUUUCGUUUAUUCCCUUUAAUAUUUAUAGAGGGAUUUAAAUCAAGGGAUAAAGUCAGUAAGAAAAAAUAAUCAAAGAAAGCCUAGCAAACAAGAUGAGCCACUGGCUAGGGGUCAAGAAUCCCGUGAUAUCUACUUAUGUCACUCUAUGCAGGGCGAACGCAGGAGCCCCCAUUUUCCUCCAUCUUGAAAUCUGAAAUAGUGGGAAAAAAAUGUUCUCUUGGGAAAUGUCAUAGUCAAAGGUAUAUAACAAAGUAAAGUAGCAAUGAAAACCUAGUGCAUUUUUAAAAUAGAGAUGACGAGAGGAUAAGAUGAAAUUAGAAUACAAUAAAAAAUAAACAGGGAAGGCAAAAGACAUGGUAAUUUGGCAUCUAAUUUACAUUAAUUGAAAUAAAUUGCUGAAGCCAUUUACUUCAUUAUCCUGAUUUUUACUGCAAUGAAAAUUCAAUACCAGAGGGUUCAGUGGUCUUUAAGUAAUGUUUAAAAAGCAAGAAAAAAAACAGAAUUUUGGAGGAGGUUUGCUUUUCUUCCUUCCUUCCUUCUUUCGUUCAUUCAUCCUUAAUUUAUGAACCAUUUACUAAGUGCUUAUUCUGUCCCAGGCACGAUUCUGGACACUAGGGAUGUAAUAACAUAUAGAGCAUAGUUUAUUUUCUUGAGAAAGUCUUGGCCUACUGAUGGAGACUGAGGCCAAUAUAGCGGUGUAAUUCUCUUUAAACCAUUAGGAAAAGAGAAGCGAGGGAUCAAUUAAGUAACUACGCUCUUUUCAGUGCUUUACUUUUUACAAAGUACUUUCACAGUGCCUGCUACAUAUCAGGUGCUCAAUAUAGAUCUGUUGAAUGAAUGAAACAGUAAGGGAUUAAAAGGAUGGUUUCUGAAGGAAGAGGUUCAAUUCUGGCUCCACCACAUGCUAGCUAUAUGACCAUGGGAAAAAUCCAUAUCUCCCUAUGCCUCAAUUUUCAGUAAAAUGGAGGUAAGUAAUAAUAGUGGGUACCUCAUAUGGUUUAGAGGAUUAAAUAUAAACCAUUUACUACAGAAUAAACAUUUAAUGUUAGCUAUUCAAAAUACCAAAAUAGGAAUGGUAAUAAAGUAACAUCUACUCUGUCUCAUUUAAUCCUCACACUCAAUCUUCAGAAGGUAGACUGAAGUUCUGCUUCCAGACCUUCAAAGGUCCAAAUGUCUAAUUUGUAUGUUAUGUUAAGCAAUUACACUGUGAAAAAAAUAUGAAAACAGUAUCCCAUAUGUACACUUAAAAUACUAUGAUCAUAACCUAUGAAAGAGACUGAGUAGAUAAUUUUCCUUUGGUUUAGGGACAUAAGAUGGGGCUAUGCAAAAGAGAAAAUGAGCAAGUGAACAAACAGGCCAGUCAAGCAGAGUGAAUGUCAAAGUCUAAUGCCAAUGGCUUUAGCCUCAAAUGAAGUCACACCACAUCUAACAGGACCAACAGGAAUAUCAACCAUGGUGCCUGUGAUAACUAUUUUAAAUCAGAAGCUGCCAUUUUAGGGAUAAUAACAGCAUAGGCCUUUCAUUAAUCAAAAGUCUAUACCCUAAGCAUAAAACUAAAACAUGUUUACUUUUCCCAAGUAUGUUAGGCAACACUUACAAAUCAAUUUGUUCUGAGGUUUACUUACACAGCACUGAACCACUGUUGAAAAUUAAGCUCUUACAAAAUCAACUCUGGCAAUAACUUUGUACUAAAGGAAAAAAAAUUAUCUCAGCAUUUUUCUUAACUACUAACUAGCCUAGUUAGUAUGCAAAGUUAGCAACCUUGAAAAGUACUGUUAGCUUUGAUUCUGAGCAGGCCAGAGAAAUCUGCCUCAAUUAAGUCAAAUCGUGGUUUUGAACAAAAUAAUCUCAAAGGUAUCUUCGAGCCCUGAAAAACACAAAUCAGACAGCUGCAAUUUUCUUCAGCUCUCUCCUAAGGUAAACAUUUUUUGAAGAAACAAAAGAGAGGGUAGGAGGCAGGAAGGGUGCUCCAAAGUCCUCUUACAGCUUCAUAGUAAGUCAAUUGAAUAUAAGUCAACACAUUUUAAUGAUCUAGUAUAUAAAGCAUACCAUGAUGAAUAAGAGGGUACUUGCUCAUAAGAAGCUUAGCUUUUCACCUAGUAUGGCAGGAGUCUCCCCAGGCCAAAUUCUGCCCACUCCUCAGCCUGUUUCUGUAACAUUUUAUUGGAAUACAGCCACACUCUUUCAUUUAUGUAUUGUCAUGGCCACCUUCACAACAUACACAACAGUAGAGCUGAGUGAUUGCAACAAAGACGAUCUGGCUUACAAAACCUAAAAUAUUUACUAUCUGGCCCUUUACAGAAAAAGUCUGCUGGCCACUGAAACUGAAAAAGAGAAUAAAGACAUCUUUCCACUAACUCUUCAAAGUCAAAGAAUGUUAGCACCAGAAAUAAUUUUAAAGAUCAUUACAACUUUCCCGUUUUACAAGCAAUGGGAGAGUUUCCCAUUUUACAAGCAUGGAAGAUAGUAAAAACCUUCUAAACAAGAGGAAAAUGUCAAUAACAGAUUACAUACUAUGUGCCAGGCACUAUUCUAAGGGCUGCACGUACAUUAUCUCACUUAAUUCCCUCCACAAGCCUGUGAGGCACACACUUCAGUACAUUUUGUAGAUGAAGAGACUGAGGCACAGAGAGGUUAAGCGAUUUACCCAAGUUUGCACAGUUAACACAUGGUGAUGCUGGAAUUCAAAUCCACAGUUUGAUUUCAGAGUCUGUGAUCUUAUCUCCCUGCAUAGGGCAUGCACUAAAUGAAGGUACAAACGACGUAGCUAUGUAUGGGAAAACAAAGGCACAAUUACUUUUCACUGAGGGGAUCAGUAAAGGCUUCAUGGAGGAAGAAGUGCUGGUCCCUUCUAUUACCUUUUGACCUAAUCUCUCCAGAUGCCUGGAAAGGAUGACAAAUAGCACAUAGCCACAAAACUUGAACAGAGUAAAUUCACAUUGUUACAUGAUACUGUUAAGUUAGAAAUACAUUCAUUUUGCUAGUUUAGAAAAAAAAUUUUUUUUUUUUUUUUGAGACAGAGUCUUGCUCUGUUGCCCAGGCUAGAGUGCAGUGGUCCAGUCUCGGCUCACUGCAACCUCCACCUCCCGGGUUCAGGUGAUUCCCCUGCCUCAGCCUCCUGAGUAGCUGGGAUUACAGGCAUGCACCACCACAACUGGCUAAUUUUUGUAUUUUUGGUAGAGAUGGGGUUUCGCCAUGUUGGCCAGGCUGGUCUUCAACUCCUGGCCUCCGCCUGCCUUCGGCCUCCUAAAGUGCUGGGAUUACAAGUGUGAGCCCAGCCAAUUUUAUUUCUUCUAAUCGCCACCAUUGAUAUAGUGACAGAUACCACAGGUGGCUUGAAGAAGUAUAAAACAUUAUCCCUGUGGUCAAUGAGUUUACACUCUAGUCUAGAAGUAUUAAAUAAAACUACUUGGUACAGAAAAGGUUGAUACUAGAGUCUUUUUUUAAAAGAAGUUUUGUACAAAUGCUAAAAUGUGGAAAUGGGAAAAUCAUUGGUCAAUAUAUAUACAUAUUUUCCAAUCAUUUCAUAGCAAAAUCCCCAAUGCCUGCUGUAAUGGUUGGUUGUUGGGUUCUGACCAACAGAAUCUAUUCCCCCUCACUUUUGGUAAUUGUACUCCAAUUUUCCUCUUGAUGAACCUGUCAUGUUUUUCAGCGGGGGCUCCAUCGCUGGUUUCAAGAGUGGAAGAUGAAGCUAUACUGUAGCAAUACAAGCACUAUGUUCCUCUUGCCAUAGUGACUGGUUGAAGAAUGAGCAGGGUACCCAAUGAGGCACAAUGAAACUUCGAGCUUCGAGGAGAGCACUCCUUCUGACUUACAUUUAAACCUGUAAGAAUAUGAGGACUGCUAUCAAAGACACACAAAAUCGGUGACUAAAGUGUUAAGGACAGAUUGUAUUCUGUUACUACUGCAACAGGGAAAAGAGUCCAAUGUGAAUUGCAUUCACAGCCCCAGAAAACGAAAGGCUGGAGACUUUAAAGGCUGAGUUGUGCUAAGGGAAAGGCACUGAGGGGUGCUAACAGGGCUUAGUCCGUGUGACUAGGCCAUAUGGAUUUGUUAACUAGCGCUUAUCUGGAAGAGAAACAAUCUUCUAUCCUUAUGAGACAAGGCAACUGAGCAAGUUGAAGCAAGGUGUCCACUGAACUUUGCCCUUUAUCUUCCCAGAGGGACUAGGAAGGAGAGUAAGAGUUAUUUCCUAGAAUGUUCGCAUUUCACUGAGACAGGGUUCUGGGGCUCCCAGGUCCUUGAGGAAACAGUUUUGUGUGGUAGAUUUACAUCUCAAAAGGCAGGGAAAGUUUUUAUAAUUGCAAGCUUUCUAAACUAAUUGCUCUAAAAGAGGGUUCAGGGGCCUCUCACCAGGUUUUUCCUGGAACAAUCAGGAAAUUCUGGCAGCUUUGAGCCUCUUCAGGAAGCCAUUUUAAGGGAACCUGAGAUCAUCCUAGGGACAUGGCCUUAAGCUGCUAGAAGCCAUGCUAGGGCUUGGUCAAGUCUCUUGGAGCAGAGGUUUGGAGCAAGUCAUUAGGUACCCUGAGAGUUCUGCAGUUCUCAGUACAACCACCUUGAAACCAUAAAGGGUCUAUCCAGAGCUAAGAAAUUGAGGAUUCUGGCAACAAAGUGCACCAUCCUCUUAUCCUGCUUUACUUUUUCUUAAAAAUAUUUAUCAUAACGUGAUACAACACACAUUAAUGUUCUUGUAUACUGCAUGUCUUUCCUUAUUAUAACGUAAGCUCUAUGAGACUAAGGGCUGUCUCUACUGCUACUACACGUGGUUCGGUACAUACAACAGUGCCUGUUACAUAGUAGGUAGGCAGUAAGUAUGCUGAAUGAAUGAAUCAUUUUUUUGUCCUUGAAUCUGACUGUACCUUAAUAAGCCUUUCCCUCUUUUGUUAUGCCAGUUUGAACAGGGUUUCCUGAUAUAUACAACCUAAGAGUUGUAAAUGGUAUUAACAGUUUUGUUCUCCAUUUACUGUGAAUAUGAUUUUGAUCUCUAGUUCAUUUCACAAAAAUGAUAUUUCACUAUAUUACUGCAGUCUGGAUGCACCUACUUCUCUCAGUCCUUUUUAGUUUGUACCCUUUCUAAGAAUGUAAAAAUAUCCCAAAGUUUGUGAGCUUCACAAGGACAAAAACUGUGUCCCAAUCAUCUUGGUAUUCCCUUGGACAUGUAUAGCAGAAAUUAGGGCUCAGUAAAUAGCUACUGAAUUGAACAAAAUCCCCAGGUCCUUCCCUAUCUCUCCUUCGCACACUUCCUAUUGCACUAGUGUUAUCUUCUGAGUGGUGGCUCCUAUUUGCCUUGGUCCAUCCAGGACUUCUUUUGGGUUGAAACAUUAAGAAAAUUAGUAUAUUUAUACUUUUUUGGCAUCUCCCGUUUUUGAACAAGACUGGUUAAAUGAAAAUCAUUUACCCAUAUAUUAAUAUGGGUAAGCAAAUAUAGGUUCAAAAAGAAAAAGAGAUGACUUCAAAAACAGUCAUCUCUUUAAAAAUCGAAACAUCAAAAGGUUAACAUAAAUUAAUUUCCACAAUAACAACACAUUCAAAUGUAGUUAGGUUGAAGCUAUAUGUGUAAAUUCAUUCUUGGCACAGAAUUCGAUCUCCCUUCUUUUAUGAAUAACAUCAGCUUGUAACUCCUGACCAAUUUGGCAAUGUAUCUAAAUUACGCAUAAUUAAAACUGUCCAUAGGGCAGGCGAGGUUCCAAAGGUAUGAUUAAAUGAUUUGUAAGUAUUAAUAUAUCAUAAAACAGUCAGUUGUACACCUUCCCACUGAGUCUCACGUAUUUAUAAAUGUAGGGAGUUUUCUAGAUUGUGCUGACUCACAGGAAGAUAGCUGGAGUAUUUUUCAAAGGUUAGGAAAAGAUCUCCAAGCUGAGCUUGAAAUUCAGCUCUGACACCCCGACACUCAACUCCAUUCAUGAACCUGAUGCCUCCCUAAUCGAGCAGCACCAAGCAGUUAUCAGAGGCUGAGCAACAGGGGAGCUUCGAUGGCCCCCAUCCAAAGAAGUUCACAUAUUAUCACAGAUGUUGCACCGGGGUGGCCUCCUUUACUUUUCCCCGUAAGGUCAACCCGGGAGGAGGGGACGGUUGGGGAGGUGUAAUCUCCCCUUUUACGGAUGAUUCUCAAGGGCGGAGACAGGAACUGUCCCAGGUUAUGACCAUUGGCAGCUACGGAACAAGGAAGGAGCUGGAGCCCUUCCUCCUGGGCUCUCAGCCCGGCCCCAGGCACCCCGGAUCUUGCACAUCCCUGGCAUGAGAGAUGGCCCCCUUCCAAGAGCGGUGGCCCCGGAGGCCCCAGCCCCUCCAGCAGCCCGACUCCCUCUCCCGACCCCCGCCCAGGCCGCGCCGCCCACUCUCGCACAUGCGCACCUCUGGAAGGCCCCUGAAUCCAGGGCCGCACGCAGGACCCAGCCAAUGAGCG
rnacentral:lncRNA from 10 species